rnacentral:rRNA from 1 species
UCGAGCGAGAAGUUUACUUCGGGAAAUGGACAGCGGCGAAAGGGACAGUAAUGUGUACGUACCUACCCCCCGAUCUGGGAUAGCUGCGGGAAACUGCAGGUAAUACCGGAUAAUGUCUUCGGACCAAAGGUGUGAUUCCGUCAGGGGAGGGGCCUGCAUCCUAUUAGCUUGUUGGUGAGGUAAUGGCUCACCAAGGCAACGAUGGGUAGCGGGUGUGAGAGCAUGACCCGCGUCAUUGGGACUGAGACACUGCCCAGACAUCUACGGAUGGCUGCAGUCGAGAAUCUUCGGCAAUGGGCGAAAGCCUGACCGAGCGACGCCGCGUGCGGGAUGAAGGCCCUCGGGUUGUAAACCGCUGUCGUUGGGGAGGAAAUGCAAAAGGGUUAUCCCUUCUGUUUGACCGAUCCAAGGAGGAAGUACGGGCUAAGUUCGUGCCAGCAGCCGCGGUAAGACGAACCGUACGAACGUUAUUCGGAAUUACUGGGCUUAAGGGUGCGUAGGCUGCACGGAAAGUUGGGUGUGAAAGCCCUCAGCUCAACUGAGGAAUUGCAUCCAAAACUGCCGUGCUAGAGGGAGACAGAGGUGAGCGGAACUCAAGGUGGAGCGGUGAAAUGCGUUGAUAUCUUGAGGA